GGAAUUUCAGUGUAACAGACAAAAGCUUUUCCAUCUUUCAAAGUCAGUACAUUAGCUGCAAACCAGGCACCUUUGUUCUUGUUAUCAUCUUUAUACACCUAAAAUCAGACAAACGGGUUGACAAAAAAUCAAACAAGCUGUUAGAAUCAGAAAAGUGAAAUACUAAUUCCCUUACCUCAACAAGACAACCCUCUUUAAUGUUGUUAUCUUUCCAUGUGGGUGAAGUGCUUUGUGGCAUCAUGUCCACGUCAGCAGCAUUAGAAGCAUCACUUGGUCCAAUCUCCAAAUCAGGAACUGCCCCAAUGGUUUUGGUCAAGUCAAUACCUUCACGAAUCCUAGCUGUACUUUUAUCGUUUUCAUAGCUUGUAAUCAUCAUCUGGUUCUUGAACAAAUCAUCAUGUUUCAAAGUCUGAAUCUUUUUAUCACUAGAAGCAGCUUCAACAUUCUGUUUUUUAGAUGCCUGUGGAGUUUUCCAGUAACCCUCGGGACCCGCUUCAACCAAUUCACUUAUAGCCAAGGGUUUACCCAUUGCAACAAUCUUCCCAGCUUGUGAGACAGCUUCAGCUGCCAGCUCAGCAGCUUUGACAAUCGCAUCUAGAUUCUCAGCAUGCUUUGAAGCAGCUGAAGCAGCUUCAAUUCUCUUACGUGCAGCUUCUCUUGCAACAGAUAUGACUGAAGCAGGUGUAGUAGUUUUAUGAAUUUCAGUUCUACUUGAUAACAACACUUCAUCAGCCAUUAACCUUGCUUGUUCUGCAACAUUUGAUGCGAUUU
rnacentral:lncRNA from 1 species